UACGGAGGGUGCAAGCGUUGUUCGGAAUUACUGGGCGUAAAGGGCGCGCAGGCGGCCUGCCAAGUCAGAUGUGAAAUGCCAUGGCUUAACCAUGGACGUGCAUUUGAAACUGGUGGGCUUGAGUACCAGAGGGGAAGGUGGAAUUCCCGGUGUAGAGGUGAAAUUCGUAGAUAUCGGGAGGAAUACCGGUGGCGAAGGCGACUUUCUGGCUGGAUACUGACGCUGAGGCGCGAAAGCGUGGGGAGGCAAACAGGAUUAGAUACCCUGGUA
rnacentral:rRNA from 1 species